rnacentral:lncRNA from 1 species
AUUGGUUUGUUCCCUUAGGCUGGCUUGGUCUGGGUUCAUCAUGGCUGCCACACUUCCAGGAGUCACACUCAAACAACAUUCAGAGGAAGAAAAGGGCUGUUUCUCUUCCCCUGUUUCUUUUUAAGAACAAAGAAAUGUUUUCCAGAGGCCCCAAGCAGACUUUUCUGGACAUCUCAUUGGCCUGGAAAGUGUCCUGUGCCCAUUUCUAAGAAUCACUGGCAAGAGUGAUGGAACAAUCACCAUGUUUCCCUUAGACAAGUCCAGACUGAGCCUAUGGGCAUCCCAAAGGUUCUGCCUCUUUGCCCAGCGCGUAUGAUUCAGCCGAGGGUGUUGUUGAAAUGCAGGCUCUGGCCCAGUAAGGCUGGGGUAGGGCCUGAGAUUCUGCCUUCCUAGCAAGCUCCGCCGAUGCCCGUGCAGCUGCUUUGUGGCCCACACUUAGAGCUGCAAGGCCCUGAUCUCUGCAAACUGGCGGGAAGGACACGCCCCCACUCGAAGCCCCUCUGCUGGCCCUUGGAGCAGUGUAUCCUGGAUUCAAAGGACCAGAAAAAGAGCAGUUGGAGGGUGUGAGGAUGAAAGGGGACCUGCCACCUCGCUUUACAUGUGGUGGAACCCAGGCCUCCUCAGUGCAGGAAGGAACUUGUUCAAGAUCUCACAGCAUUUCAGUGACAAAGUCAAGACUCGGGCCUCCUGCAUAGGAAAAAGAAAAGCGAAACAAAAACUAAACAAAAACGAAAACUAGAAAAGAUACUCACUGAGGUGUUUGCUGGGCUUCCUCUGGGCUCCUUUGAUGUCUUUCCUGUAUUUUUAUAUAUAUUUUUUGACAAUGAACAUGUACCAAUUUUGUAAUAAGAAAAAAUUACCUUUAAUAAAAGAAAAU